rnacentral:rRNA from 1 species
GACGAACGCUGGCGGCGUGCUUAACACAUGCAAGUCGAACGGAAAGGCCCUGCUUUUGUGGGGUGCUCGAGUGGCGAACGGGUGAGUAACACGUGAGUAACCUGCCCUUGACUUUGGGAUAACUUCAGGAAACUGGGGCUAAUACCGGGUAGGAGCUCCUGCUGCAUGGUGGGGGUUGGAAAGUUUCGGCGGUUGGGGAUGGACUCGCGGCUUAUCAGCUUGUUGGUGGGGUAGUGGCUUACCAAGGCUUUGACGGGUAGCCGGCCUGAGAGGGUGACCGGCCACAUUGGGACUGAGAUACGGCCCAGACUCCUACGGGCGGCAGCAGUGGGGAAUCUUGCACAAUGGGCGGAAGCCUGAUGCAGCAACGCCGCGUGCGGGAUGACGGCCUUCGGGUUGUAAACCGCUUUCGCCUGUGACGAAGCGUGAGUGACGGUAAUGGGUAAAGAAGCACCGGCUAACUACGUG